rnacentral:rRNA from 1 species
GACGAACGCUGGCGGCGUGCUUAACACAUGCAAGUCGAACGGAAAGGCCCUGCUUUUGUGGGGUGCUCGAGUGGCGAACGGGUGUGUAACGUGUGAGUACCCUGCUCUUGACUUUGGGAUAACUUCAGGAAACUGGGGCUAAUACCGGAUAGGAGCUCCUGCUGCAUGGUGGGGGUUGGUUAUUUUAGGCGGUUGGGGAUGGGCUGCCGGCUUGUCAGCUUGUUGGGGGGGUAGUGGCUUACCAAGGCGUUGACGGGUAGCCGGCCUGGGUGGGUGACCGGCCACAUUGGGACUGGAAUACGGCCCGACCCCCUACGGGAGGCAGCAGUGGGGAAUUUGGCACAAUGGGCGGAGGCCUAAUGCAGCAACGCCGCGUGCGGGAUAACGGCCUUCGGGUUGUAAACCGCUUUCGCCUGUAACGAAGCGUGAGUGACGGUAAUUAGUAAAGAAGCACCGGCUAACUACGUG